UAACUGUCGAUGUAAAUCGAUGCGCAUAAAAAGUUCUCAACGCUUGCUGAUAUUGAAGGAGGAUUGCUGAUAUUGAAGGAUGGUAGGAGCUGGCUAUGGCAGAGACAGAGGCAGAAAUACGGGGAGCUACCGGAAAAACGAGGGAAGAUGCCCGGAACCUGACUCUAUCUCCAGGGUGCAAAGCGGAGUUGGUGGCAGCAGCUUCAACUUACCUAUAAAUCGAAUAUAGAUCCUCCGAAGACUAAUUUUAUUACUGUUCACUAUGAUUUAUGAGCCAAGCUUUAUUCUUCAUUCAUGUGUGCAUUUGUUUUAGCAAUCUCUUUUACUUUUAGGGUUAGGGUUUUGAUUAAUGGUUAAACAACUGGUUUCACUGUCCAUGUGUUUGACUUCAGGGUUUUGAUUGAUUAAUUUCAUAACAGCAUUUGCUCUCGUGUAUUUCGGGUUUCUGUUAUCAUUUUCCUUGUGUGAAUGAAUGUGUGCUAUGUGGGUUCUCACAACUGAAAUUGAAAUUGAAGGUUUAACGAAGUUGCAAAUGGUGCUAGCAGCUAGUAUGGCGAAUGUCCUUCAAGACCUGAAUUCAUGUAACAAGAAGGAUUCGGUAGCACUACCUACGAGGGGCAGGGAAAUGUGGAUGCAAACGUGAACAUAAAGGUCUUGAUGUUUUCAAUCACGGAUUCUUUUUGUAUAUUUCGUGUUUCUACAAUCACAUCCCUUGUGCGAAUGCAUGUGUGAUAUGUGGGUGCUCACAACUGAAGCUGACAUUGGAGGAAUCAACGAGCAUCACCUUAAGUUAACAGGCAAGGCGGAUUUCUCUCCAGAGAUGAAUACUUGUAAUUUCGAUGAGGGCCUUGUUUUUGUUCAUCUCAAUUUAACUCCAUCUGUUUGAUAUUUUAGGCUUGAUCACUUUUAGUUGAUACACGUGCCUUGCGUUUUGUAUCCGAAGGUUUCGAAUGGGAUUUGGUAUUGUGCCACACAGACGUUGGUAAGGCUGCUUAACUGUUGAUCAUGACAUGGGCUUCACUGCCCAUGUAUGUGUUUAUGCUAGCAAUCUGUACAAUUUUAUAUUCCUAUUCAGUUUAGAGCACUGCCCAUCGCCUUGCGUUAGUUUAGAUCACAACUAUGGAGCUAGCCAUUGUUGUAUCCUUGAAGCAGGUACUGAUCUUUUGCACUUUUAUGAUCUGAUUCACUGUUUAUCUAAAUGUUUUUAGUUUGGGUUUUGAGGCAUAUGAUGCUUAGAGUUGUCAUUGGACAUCCAAAUCUUAACUUUCAAUUCUCUAAUUAUGUUCCAUGUAUUGGACUUGGUUUGUAUUAGUUUGUUCUGUAGGUUCCAUUAUUUGCUAUGGAUGGGGAUUGUGUCCUGUCCUCCUGUAAUUCUUCAAUCCUACUAAUGGGUUUCUUGCGGGCCAUUAUGGACGUCCCGCUCUUUUGAUGCCCUGAAAUAUCCAUAUUGAAAGUGGUGAGUUGGUUAAAGAGCGUGCAAGAACCGAGAACUGGAAACUCAUGUACUGAUGUUCAUGUUGCCAUGUAAUUUAACUUAACAGUUUUAUUGUUUUAAUAACUUGAAAGCACGUUGUAUUUUUUUUUUA